UACGAAGGGGGCUAGCGUUGUUCGGAAUUACUGGGCGUAAAGCGCACGUAGGCGGGUUGUUAAGUCAGGGGUGAAAUCCUGGAGCUCAACUCCAGAACUGCCUUUGAUACUGGCAACCUAGAGACUGGAAGAGGUUAGUGGAAUUCCCAGUGUAGAGGUGAAAUUCGUAGAUAUUGGGAAGAACACCAGUGGCGAAGGCGGCUAACUGGUCCAGCACUGACGCUGAGGUGCGAAAGCGUGGGGAGCAAAACAGG
rnacentral:rRNA from 1 species